rnacentral:rRNA from 1 species
CUGCGUGGAAGGGCCAUCGCUCAACGGAUAAAAGCUACCCUGGGGAUAACAGGCUUAUCUCCCCCAAGAGUCCACAUCGACGGGGAGGUUUGGCACCUCGAUGUCGGCUCAUCACAUCCUGGGGCUGUAGUAGGUCCCAAGGGUUGGGCUGUUCGCCCAUUAAGGUGGUAGGCGGGCUGGGUGCAGCACGUCGUGAGACAGUUCGGUCCCUAUCCGUCGCAGGCGGAGGAAAUUUGAGAGGACCUGUCCUUAGUACGAGAGGACCGGGAGGGACGUAACUCUGGUGUACCAGUUGUUCUGCCAAGGGCAUGGCUGGGUAGCUAUGUACGGAAUGGAUAAGCGCUGAAAGCAUCUAAGCGCGAAGCCAACUUCAAGAUAAGAUUUCCCACCGCAAGGGUAAGACCCCAGAAAGACUAUCUGGUUGAUAGGUCGAAGGUGUAAGUGCAGCAAUGUAUUUAGCUUAUCGAUACUAAUAGGUCGAGGACUUGACCAAU